GCGGACAGCGCGGCUGUGCGGGCGGAGAGCUGUCGCUACCACUUUCUCUGGAAGUUCAUUCCACACAGGCUCGUGUGUUAAAGUGACAGGCAGCUGGAAGCUCGGGCUGUGUUUUUGCAGCAGAACGUAGAUCAUCAGUCGCCAUUUCCGCCACCUCCACUGAGAUGCUGCCAGACACAGGUUCCUGUCCCCUCCAUUAACAGCUAUGCACCCUCCCCAGCCAGGAUAUUAAAUCAGAAUAAUUGAGGCUAGGAACUCAAAAGCAAGUUUUUACAGUCAAUGGAGUCAUCGGGAUCUGAAUAUCAUUUGCAUUUGACUGUGGACGGAG